rnacentral:rRNA from 1 species
GACGAACGCUGGCGGCGUGCUUAACACAUGCAAGUCGAACGGAAAGGCCCUGCUUUUGUGGGGUGCUCGAGUGGCGAACGGGUGAGUAACACGUGAGUAACCUGCCCUUGACUUUGGGUUAACUUCAGGAAACUGGGGCUAAUACCGGAUAGGAGCUCCUGCUGCAUGGUGGGGGUUGGAAAUUUUCGGCGGUUGGGGAUGGACUCGCGGCUUAUCAGCUUGUUGGUGGGGUAGUGGCUUACCAAGGCUUUGACGGGUAGCCGGCCUGAGAGGGUGACCGGCCACAUUGGGACUGAGAUACGGCCCAGACUCCUACGGGAGGCAGCAGUGGGGAAUAUUGCACAAUGGGCGGAAGCCUGAUGCAGCAACGCCGCGUGCGGGAUGACGGCCUUCGGGUUGUAAACCGCUUUCGCCUGUGACGAAGCGUGAGUGACGGUAAUGGGUAAAGAAGCACCGGCUAACUACGUG